GGGGAUGUUUUGGUUUUGACAGCAUUUGACAUUUGUCGGUAAGCACGUCGAGCUUCGUAGCCUGGCUCGUUAAUAUCAGACUUCAAGCCAAUAACUGGCAAUAACAACUAUGCACUCGCUGCGUAAGUAAACCAAGUUUACUACCUUAAUCUUUGUCGCCAAGGCUGCGAUGAAGACGAGUAUCCCGUCAGGCCCCUGCUCUCUCCGCCUGACAACCGGGGUAUCAUUUUAGGGAGCUGCAGGUGUUGACUCUUCUAAGGCACCCUAAGAUACAGAAGAUAAGUUCCGGAUGGCUUGUCCUUCAGCAGUCCGGUUCCGACAAUCAAUGAAGGAAUAAGCGUGUAGAAAGCCUUCGGGUGCGAUGUUUGGACGGCGGUUCGAGUCCGCCCAUCUCCACA
rnacentral:tmRNA from 1 species